GUUUUGGUUAUAGAGGUGGGAUUAUGUAGUAUGUAUCUACAAUUAAUAACAAUGGUUAUAAAAACAUUUUUAAAAAUCAUUCUUAACCAGCUUAAUGAAUUGAUGGUGUUAACUGGUUAUUAGGUGUUGAAAAAUGUGUUUGUGGUCAGAGCAAACUUCUGAUUGAUGUGGGAGAAGUGUCUUCCUGUCUGCUACAGGCUGCAGUAGAUUCAUCUUAAAUGUUGUGUGAGGGGAACCUGGUCUCACUGUUUUAAAUGUUUUAAUCAAGCCAGUGACAUGAGGAUCAUUCAGCUUCAGCUCUAUGUCUUAAUCUGUUGUCAAGCAGCAGUAGCAGAUCAACUAACUGAUUUGGGAUCAAAUGUGACCAUAAACUGUGAUCUUGAUGAAAAUGAGGUUUAUUGGAUUUUACUGAAAACACCAGAUCCUCCAACAGUGAUUCUACGAUCAUUACAAACACCACUACCACCUUUUUACCCUAAUAAAACAUUCAGAAAGAAAUAUUCAGUGCAGUUUAAACAUUGUCUGGUUAUAAAUAAUGUGACAGCUGAUGAAUUAGGAGUUUAUUACUGUAUAAACACUGAUACACCUCCAAAAUUCAGCAACGGCUCCAGACUGUACUUCAAUGGUGAGUUCAUUUACUCCUUCAGAGAUCAAGUGCUUACUGAUCACCACACAUACUUGUGAUUUACUAAAGUUUUAGAUACUUAUGAAAAACAAUUAAUAAAUUAUAUAUUAUCAGUAUUUUCAGAGCUACAGAUCUGCAGCCAUUGCACUAACAGUAAUGGUUUUUAUAGUAACAGACUGUGGGCACUUUCUUUACAGAAUCAGUUCAACCAUCUGAGUGUCACAAUCAUACAGUGAUUCGGUUUAUUGAUCAGAAUGAAACACAAUGUCAGAUUAUUAUCAUCAUAUCUGCUCUGAUGAAUGGGCUUCUGGUUGUUGUGGUGAUUGGACUUGUAAAGGUUUUUGUUGUUGGAAACAGAAGGUCAGCAGAAGGAUCACGACAGCCCAACACUGAUCUACAGCAGAAUCAAGUUAUAGAAGAGCAGCAGAAUCCAGACCAAUUACAGUAUGCCAUGAUGGACUUUUCCAAGAUGCGUAGAAAUUUUCGCUCCAGCCAAAUCAACAGCACCUAUGCUGCUCUGAAGCUGCCGAAGUCAUGAAUAUAUGAGUAUCUUAUACUUAUUUUGUUCAUGUUUUCUUGAUGUUCAUUCAACUCUGAAACUUCUAAUCACAAACUGUUUGGAAAUGUAACACACAAGACAUUAAUCAGCCAAACAUUCCAACUCUCUUUUGAUCAAGAGGUUUCAAACUGGGGUCUGCGGGAAAGUUCAGAGAAAACCAUUUUAAAAAAUAAAUAAAGUUAAAAUUGAUUAAAAUUGAUAUUAUUACUGUUUCAUUUCUCUUUCUAAAAAAUAUUUGAAAAUCAUUAGAUUAUUCGCAAUUAUUGUAUAAUAUUUACAGCCAUAUUUUGCUUGAUUUCUCUUUAGGUUUAUACAUCUAAAUAGGUAGAAAAAAUACAGUGUCUUCUUAAAAGAAAGUAAAUAUUUUCCAGACAAUAUUUUACUUAAUUUAUGAAACAGUCAGGCAUUCACACAGCAUUUAAUAUGUAUGUGUGUGUGUGUGUG